rnacentral:misc_RNA from 1 species
GAUGAAGAACGUAGCGAAAUGCGAUAAGUAGGGUGAAUUGCAGAAUUCAGUGAAACAUCGAAUCUUUGAACGCACAUUGCGCCCCUUGGUAUUCCAUGGGGCAUGCCUGUUCGAGCGUCAUUUGUACCUUCAAGCUUUGCUUGGUGUUGGGUGUUUGUCUCGCCUCCGCGUGUAGACUCGCCUCAAAACAAUUGGCAGCCGGCGUAUUGAUUUCGGAGCGCAGUACAUCUCGCGCUUUGCACUCACAACGACGACGUCCAAAAGUACAUUUUUACACUCUUGACCUCGGAUCAGGUAGGGAUACCCGCUGAACUUAAGCAUAUCAAUAAGCGGAGGA